CCUACGGGGGGCAGCAGUGGGGAAUAUUGGACAAUGGGCGAAAGCCUGAUCCAGCCAUGCCGCGUGUGUGAAGAAGGCCUUCGGGUUGUAAAGCACUUUCAGUGGGGAAGAAAGCCUUGGGGCUAAUACCCUCGAGGAAGGACAUCACCCACAGAAGAAGCACCGGCUAACUCCGUGCCAGCAGCCGGGUAAUACGGAGGGUGCGAGCGUUAAUCGGAAUUACUGGGCGUAAAGCGCGCGUAGGCGGUCUGAUAAGCCGGUUGUGAAAGCCCCGGGCUCAACCUGGGAACGGCAUCCGGAACUGUCAGGCUGGAGUGCAGGAGAGGAAGGUAGAAUUCCCGGUGUAGCGGUGAAAUGCGUAGAGAUCGGGAGGAAUACCAGUGGCGAAGGCGGCCUUCUGGACUGACACUGACGCUGAGGUGCGAAAGCGUGGGUAGCAAACAGGAUUAGAUACCCUUGUAGUC
rnacentral:rRNA from 1 species